rnacentral:rRNA from 1 species
CAAAGCAUAGUUCAAAGUAGAACACCCCCUUUACACGGAGGAAAUACUCGUU